CGCGCCUAACACAUGCAAGUCGAACGAGAGAGAGGGAGCUUGCUUCCUCAAUCGAGUGGCGAACGGGUGAGUAACGCGUGAGGAACCUGCCUCAAAGAGGGGGACAACAGUUGGAAACGACUGCUAAUACCGCAUAAGCCCACGACCCGGCAUCGGGAAGAGGGAAAAGGAGCAAUCCGCUUUGAGAUGGCCUCGCGUCCGAUUAGCUAGUUGGUGAGGUAACGGCCCACCAAGGCGACGAUCGGUAGCCGGACUGAGAGGUUGAACGGCCACAUUGGGACUGAGACACGGCCCAGACUCCUACGGGAGGCAGCAGUGGGGAAUAUUGCACAAUGGGGGAAACCCUGAUGCAGCGACGCCGCGUGGAGGAAGAAGGUCUUCGGAUUGUAAACUCCUGUUGUUGAGGAAGAUAAUGACGGUACUCAACAAGGAAGUGACGGCUAACUACGUGCCAGCAGCCGCGGUAAAACGUAGGUCACAAGCGUUGUCCGGAAUUACUGGGUGUAAAGGGAGCGCAGGCGGGCGAUCAAGUUGGAAGUGAAAUCCAUGGGCUCAACCCAUGAACUGCUUUCAAAACUGGUCGUCUUGAGUAGUGCAGAGGUAGGCGGAAUUCCCGGUGUAGCGGUGGAAUGCGUAGAUAUCGGGAGGAACACCAGUGGCGAAGGCGGCCUACUGGGCACCAACUGACGCUGAGGCUCGAAAGUGUGGGUAGCAAACAGGAUUAGAUACCCUGGUAGUCCACACCGUAA
rnacentral:rRNA from 1 species